rnacentral:sRNA from 1 species
GUUUUGCGUAAGGGGUAGGAGCGGCAUCCUUUUUGGGACUCGCUUUUUCGGCGAGGGCCCAAAAAGAUAUAGCGUAUGACCCGACCCGCU